CGCUAUACUAACCCUCGAAAAUACCGGUCCAUGCUUGCGGACCGGUUUUUAUUGUCU
rfam:Yokenella regensburgei ATCC 43003 genomic scaffold Scfld3, whole genome shotgun sequence.